rnacentral:rRNA from 1 species
GACGAACGCUGGCGGCGUGCUUAACACAUGCAAGUCGAACGGAAAGGCCCUGCUUUUGUGGGGUGCUCGAGUGGCGAACGGGUGAGUAACACGUGAGUAACCUGCUCUUGACUUUGGGAUAACUUCAGGAAACUGGGGCUACUCUCAUAUAGGAUCUCCCGCAGCAUGGUGGGGGUUGGAACGUUUCGGCGGUUGGGGAUGGACGCGCGGCUUAUGAGCUUGUUGGUGGGGUAGUGGCUUACCAAGGCUUUGACGGGUAGCCGGCCUGGGAGGGUGACCGGGCACAUUAGGCCUGAGAGACGGCCCAGACGCCUACGGGAGGCAGCAGUGGGGAAUAUGACACAAUGGGAGGAAGCCUGAGGCAGCAACGCCGCGUGCGGGAUGACGGCUUGCGGGUAGUGAACCGCUUUCGCCUGUGACGAAGCGUGAGUGACGGUAAUGGGAAAAGAAGCACCGGCUAACUACGUG